UCAGUUACACUGUAGUCUACAUGCCCAGGGGACGUGGAUAACCUCGGGAAAUACUGAGGAUAAACCGCGAUAGGUCACUACUUCUGGAAUGGGUAAUGACCCAAACCUAUAUGGCCCCUGGAUUGGACUGCGUGCCGAUCAGGCUGUUGGUGAGGUAAUGGCCCACCAAACCUGUAACCGGUACGGGCUCUGUAGAGGAGGAGCCCGGAGAUGGGCACUGAGACAAGGGCCCCUAGGCCCUAUGGGGCGCAGCAGGCGCGAAACCUCUGCAAUAGGCGAAAGCUUGACAGGGUUACUCUGAGUGAUUUCCGUUAAGGAGAUCUUUUGGCCACCUCUAUUAAAUGGUGCAGAAUAACGGGGUGGCAAGUCUGGUGCCAGC
rnacentral:rRNA from 1 species